AAGUUUCUUUCUUUGUUACUAUUUUUAACAAAGAGAGAAGUGAAGAGCAAGUCUCCUUCUUAUAAGGAAUCAACCAAAAAAAAAAAAAACUCAUUGUAUCAAGGAAGAAAAUCUACAUCUAAGAGAAAUACCUCGACCUGAGCUGGAACAAUUUUUCUUACACCAAAAUUCCUGAAUUCCUAGGUUCACUCUCUAUUAAUUUGGUCUAUCUUAACCUUUCCAAUGCAUGCUUCGCCGGGAAUGUCCCACUUCACCUAGGGAACCUCUCCUAUCUGCAGUACCUUGAUCUCAAUAACUUUCUUCUGUAUUUCGGCCGUAGCGCUGGUUACUUAAACGGUGGAUAAACUUGAAUCGAUAUCGAGUAUUCCUGCUUUGAAACACCUCGACUUGUCCGGCGUCGUUGUUCGGGAUGCCCAAGGUUGGUUGCGGUCAAUAUCCAUGCUUACUUCUCGUCGAUUCUUGGGAUUAGCAGACUGUUUGCUGCCAAACACUGACCCAAGCCUUGCAUGUCAACUUCACUUCUCUUGAGUUUCUUGAUCUGAGGGAUAAUACUUUAGGCUCUGUGAUUCCAAAUUGGUAGCUCAAUCUAAGCUCCAUCAGUCAUGUGGAUCUUUCUUCUAGUUUUGAUGGAGCCGUCUCCUUUCCCGCUGAGAUUAUCGAUAAUAACAAACAGCUUGCCUUCCUUGAUCUUGGAUUCAAUUCCAUGGGAGGUGAACUGCCAAAGAAUAUCAGCAAUCUCUGCCACUAGUUUGCAUUGAGAUUGGCCUUCAACAGCUUCAACGGAGAUAUAUUUCUGCCGUAUUAGGUAUUCCUUGCUGCUUCCAGCAUAAAUUGAGAUAUUUAGAUCUCGGCUUGAAUAAAAUCCCUGGUCAUUUGGGGUAUGAAAUCAGGCAUUUUAAGAAUCUAGAGCAUAUCAACCUUAUAGUUCGAACUUGCUCGAGGGUCCAAUUCCAGAGUCGGGCAUAAUAGAUUCACAGGUCGCAUUUUAGAAAGAAUCGGGUAAUUGUCGAAUCUAAUCAUCUUAAACUUGGACGACAAUCUCUUGAAAGGAGUGGCGAGUGAACUUCACUUGGCUAAUCUCAUGAGCUUGACUGUGUUGGACAUUUCAUCAAAUGAGUUGGCAGUCGAAUUAAUCGGUCCUCGCCCUCAACAACUUACCUCGAGCCGGUCUCUCAUCUCUUCCGAACUUGGGCCUUAACUACUUCGAGGUGGGAUUCUUCUUCCACACUCGAGCGAGGGGAUCAAAUAGUACGGGCCGGGCUUUUACUUUCGGACUCGGACUUCAUUGGCGUGGUGUGAGCUCUUGUGCAGACGUGCCCGGGGAUCAUUACCAUGGGACUCUGAUACCAUCUUAAAUUUUACCGGGCUUACAUGGGUUUGAACUCAACUUUCAACUCAAAAGUUUGAGCUAAUAAGUUGCGAGACUCAAUCCUAUAUAAACCAUCAUAUUUUCUUUUAUGUUUCCGAUGUGAGAUUAACUUUUCUCAAUUGACUUUUAUAUUUCCAAUAGACCGCCUGGAACACUUGCUCACUGUUGGAAAAGCUUACGGCAACUAAAAGCAUUAAACUUGGGAAACAACCAAUUCAACGGCCAGAUUCCAGCAUCCAUGUGCUACCUAGAGCAGCUCUCUUUUCUUGGGCUACACAGCAAUAACUUUAAUGGGAAUCUUCCCGAAUGCUUAAGCAGUAUGACUUCUCUGGCAGUGCUUGAUCUGAGCCGAAAUAGAAUUCGCUGGUCAGAUACCCUCCCGGAUUACUCUGAUAGAUAAGCUCAGUGCGUUGAAUCUUGAGUCGAAUUUCUUCAGCAGAGAAAUUCCAACAGGUAUAUGCAAAGUGGCACAACGUCCAUGUGUUUUAAUCAUGAUCAGCCUGUUACUCACGAACAACAUGGUCAUGAUUCAGAAGGUGAAGAUGAGUUUGAUAUUCUUUGGUUUUAUGCGGGCUUUGCACCAGGUUUCGCCAUGGGAAUUAUAGGGGUUUGUAGCUCUUUAUCCUGGAUCCCCUCAUGGAGGCAGUCCUUCAUUCUUUGGUCGGACGGAAUUCUCACCAAACUGCUAGUGAUUCGAAAAUAAGCUUAGCUCAAAGAUCUCGACUUGAUAAGCUUCUGCCCGCUUUUCUCCUGUGAAAUCGUCACCAAUUUCUGACCAUAAGAUUUUCGCAAUGCUAUUGCAGGUGAAAAUUGCCUGCUCUUGAGAUCAGAAGCAAGCAGUAUAGCUAUAUGUACAAGGUAAACAGAGAUAAAAUGAAGCUCUGUCAUGAGAAGAAUCGGGCAAUGGCUGUUGCAUCCAUCGUGGCUUGGAGUUAUGGCUGGCGAGUGAUGAGCUUUUUCUUCUUUGGGAUUUCUGUUGCUGAGUUAUUUGCGUUGAUGCUGUUGUUGAUCUUUUGUCGGGAGUGAGGCUAAUGAGCUUCGUAAAAAGCAGACCUACUUAUAGUCUGGUCUGGUGCUGCUUUCUGCUUGUUGUCUAAUAAUAUCGACUACUAGUAUCAGUUGGCAAAAAUUACCCGAGGCAUGCCAUUUUCUGAGCGCUACGAUCACUUCGCACACGAAAAACUUCCUCGAGUCGAUACGGAAAAAUGUCAUGGAAAACAGUCUUUUUGACUUGCGGCAGCCCAUCUCUAUCAGCCUCACUGGGAUAUUUAGCCCUGGUUACUCGGAGAAACUCGCGUUUCAUAGUGCAAAAGAAAAAGAAACUCAAUAAGUUUGUACUUCAGACACACACUAUAUCAUAGCGAAUAUUUCUCUGUUUUCCCGAUUGAAA